rnacentral:rRNA from 1 species
AAUCAACGCUGGCGGCGUGCCUCAGACAUGCAAGUCGAACGAUUAAACUUUCCUUCGGGAAAGAUAUAAAGUGGCGCACGGGUGAGUAACACGUAGGUAAUGUACCUUUGGGUGGGGAAUAACUUAGGGAAACUUAAGCUAAUACCGCAUAAUGCAGCGGCUCCUUCGGGAGACAGUUGUUAAAGAUUUAUCGCCUAAAGAGCAGCCUGCGGCAGAUUAGCUAGUUGGUAAGGUAACGGCUUACCAAGGCUACGAUCUGUAUCCGACCUGAGAGGGUGGUCGGACACACUGACACUGAAUAACGGGUCAGACUCCUACGGGAGGCAGCAGUCGGGAAUUUUGGGCAAUGGGCGAAAGCCUGACCCAGCAACGCCGCGUGAAGGAUGAAGUCUUUCGGGAU